GCUUUCCUGGUGUAGUGGUCAGCACGCUCGACGCGUAACCGAGAGGUCCGUGGUUCGAUUCCCGGCGAAGGAA
rnacentral:tRNA from 1 species